GACGGAAGGUGCAAGCGUUGCUCGGAAUCACUGGGCGUAAAGGGUGCGUAGGCAGCUUGUCACGUCGGGUGUGAAAGCCCCGGGGCUUAACCCCGGGUCUGCAUUCGAUACGGGCUAGCUAGAGUGUGGUAGGGGAGAUCGGAAUUCCUGGUGUAGCGGUGAAAUGCGCAGAUAUCAGGAGGAACACCGGUGGCGAAGGCGGAUCUCUGGGCCAUUACUGACGCUGAGGAGCGAAAGCGUGGGGAGCGAACAGG
rnacentral:rRNA from 1 species